CAUUCAAGGUCAUCCAGAGAUGGACUUGGGGGGACGAUGAUAGCCCCCCAUUCAAGGUCAUCCAGAGAUGGACUUGGGGGGACGAUGA